GACGAACGCUGGCGGCGUGCCUAAUACAUGCAAGUCGAGCGGACAGAAGGGAGCUUGCUCCCGGAUGUUAGCGGCGGACGGGUGAGUAACACGUGGGUAACCUGCCUGUAAGACUGGGAUAACUCCGGGAAACCGGAGCUAAUACCGGAUAGUUCCUUGAACCGCAGGGUUCAAGGAUGAAAGACGGUUUCGGCUGUCACUUACAGAUGGACCCGCGGCGCAUUAGCUAGUUGGUGAGGUAACGGCUCACCAAGGCGACGAUGCGUAGCCGACCAGAGAGGGUGAUCGGCCACACUGGGACUGAGGCACGGCCCAGACUCCUACGGGAGGCAGCAGUAGGGAAUCUUCCGCAAUGGACGAAAGUCUGACGGAGCAACGCCGCGUGAGUGAUGAAGGUUUUCGGAUCGUAAAGCUCUGUUGUUAGGGAAGAACAAGUGCAAGAGUAACUGCUUGCACCUUGACGGUACCUAACCAGAAAGCCACGGCUAACUACGUGCCAGCCGCCGCGGUAAAAC
rnacentral:rRNA from 1 species